rnacentral:rRNA from 1 species
AACGAACGCUGGCGGCAUGCCUAACACAUGCAAGUCGAACGAGACCUUCGGGUCUAGUGGCGCACGGGUGCGUAACGCGUGGGAACCUGCCCUUAGGUUCGGAAUAACUCCCCGAAAGGGGUGCUAAUACCGGAUAAUGUCUUCGGACCAAAGAUUUCUCGCCUUUGGAUGGGCCCGCGUUGGAUUAGCUAGUUGGUAGGGUAAAAGCCUACCAAGGCUACGAUCCAUAGCUGGUCUGAGAGGAUGAUCAGCCACACUGGGACUGAGACACGGCCCAGACUCCUACGGGAGGCAGCAGUGGGGAAUAUUGGACAAUGGGGGAAAGCCUGAUCCAGCAAUGCCGCGUGAGUGAUGAAGGCCGUAGGGUUGUAAAGCUCUUUUACCCGGGAUGAUAAUGACGGUACCGGGAGAAUAAGCACCGGCUAACUCCGUG